AAAGCAGCAGCCGCAGAUGAAGGCUCUGCAAAAAGGUGCCAACAACUGGGUAUAAGAACUACUGCAAAAUAAAGUAGUCCUUAGUAGGUACCGUCACUGACCUCAACGGCCAAUCCACUAAAUCUACAGUAAUGAUAUGCACAUGAUAGUAAAGAAAGCUGAAAAAACUCUACAGCCACAUGUCUCUAUACUAUCGCUACCAAAACCAACUAACUGUAGACAUAAACAUGCAUCACUAGCUACCACUGACCUAAUCUCACACAGGCUGCCCAAGCGGACCCACCCUGCCUGUAACCAAGCUAUACCGUACACCACCCACGGGGAUGGUCGGUUCAAGAAAAAGGUCCAAACAGGACGGCUGCGACAUCAAUGCAAGUCAAAGUCUCACUCCGGAGCGGCACUCAUGGGCGCGACCCAACCGAGUAUGCAAGCGUGUCUCUACCGAACUCAAUCAGGCUCUCACAGGCUAUAGUCAAUGCAAAUGGGUCUAACUGGUCUAACAACAAAAACUCACGUGCACUUGGCACAAUCUGAUGCAAAUCUGGGUCCACCGUCAACCACGACAGGACCCAACAAUACGGAACAGUCUACACACUACUGUAAAACAAGCUCGGUCUGUCAGCACGAGCGUAAACUCAUCCUACACUAAUCUGAGUAUCCAGUACGCACUAACAGCGGGGAUAUAAAAGAACAACAGCUCCUGAAUCUAAAUCUGAUAACUUUCAAAAAAUGACAGUGCAGGUCGACACUUUUUAAAAGUGUUACUAUAUGUGGGGUCGCUAUAUAUAGGGUCGCCUUAAUGUUUGGCACCCACUCCUCUAGCGACCUGUCGCAGAGGGACACGUGGCAAUCGUAGCCCUCUACGGUCCUGCGAGAUCUUCGCGGUCGAACUCUAGCCGCCGGAACCCUAACUCAUCGGCUGCGGCAGGGGAGGAGAAAAAGUGGAGAUGAUGAUCAAUUUUUCUUUUUUGUUUUCUUUGUAUUUGUAAUCAGGCCGAAUGGGCUCAGUGGGGUUGGUUGAGUAGAAGAGUUUUUUGUUUUUGAUUUGAUUGAGCUUUAUAUUUAGACCUUAGUAGAUUUUUUAAAAAAGUUUUGGUAUAAAUAGAACACUUAUAUAAAAGUGUCUCAAAAAUAUAUUCCUAUAAUCUAAUUCUAUUAUAGUGACAUGUGUGGAGCUUAAAAGAGAACCAAUUUCACGAUCAUCAGAUUGCAGUGUAGAUCUACUCGUGCAAAAGUGAUGAUUAGAUCUUUCUUCUCUUUUAAUUUUAAAUACAUGAGGGAUCUUAUUUUAUGUGGUUCGAGAUCGGAUCACGAGUUUUAAAAUCAAAUUUUGUCUAAUUUUUCUUUCUGCUGCACUUUUAU
rnacentral:lncRNA from 1 species